rnacentral:rRNA from 1 species
UACGUAGGUGGCAAGCGUUUGUCCGGAUUUAUUGGGUUUAAAGGGUGCGUAGGCGGUCAAGUAAGUCAGCGGUGAAAUCCGGCAGCUCAACUGUCGAUGUGCCAUUGAUACUGCAUGACUUGAGUACUGAUGAGGUAGGCGGAAUUGACGGUGUAGCGGUGAAAUGCUUAGAUAUCGUCAAGAACACCGAUAGCGAAGGCAGCUUACUAAGCAGUAACUGACGCUGAUGCACGAAAGUGUGGGGAUCAAACAGG